rnacentral:tRNA from 1 species
AUUUAUCUAGUAUACAAUGUAUAAUUGACUUCCAAUCAAAGGGACUGAAAAAUAUUUCAGGAUAAAUA